rnacentral:rRNA from 1 species
UACGAAGGUGGCAAGCGUUGUUCGGAUUUACUGGGCGUAAAGGGAGCGUAGGUGGUUAGGUAAGCCCUCCGGGAAAUCUUCAGGCUUAACCUGAAAAGGUCGGGGGGGACUGCCUGGCUAGAGGACGGGAGAGGAGCGCGGAAUUCCCGGUGUAGCGGUGAAAUGCGUAGAGAUGUGGAGGAAUACCGAUGGCGAAGGCAGCCCCCUGGGAUAACACUGACGCUCAUGCACGAAAGCGUGGGGAGCAAACAGG